AAGUCGUAACAAGGUUUCCGUAGGUGAACCUGCGGAAGGAUCAUUAUUGAAAGUAUGGGCCCUCACGGAUCCACUCUCUUCUACACACUUGUGAACCUUACUCUGUUGCUUUGGCAGGUCUCCAGAACAGCCCUUAAAAGGUUGGGAUGGUCAAGUCGAAAGACGCUUGCCAGAGGAUUUUCUAAACACCUUUAAUUUGUCUGAUUAUACAAAAAAUAAAAAUAAAACUUUCAACAAUGGAUCUCUUGGCUCUG
rnacentral:misc_RNA from 1 species